rnacentral:rRNA from 1 species
AUUGAACGCUGGCGGCAUGCCUAACACAUGCAAGUCGAACGGUAACAGGCCCUUCGGGUGGCUGACGAGUGGCGGAUGGGUGAGUAAUACUUAGGAAUCUACCCUCGUAGUGGGGGACGAACCCGGGGAAACGUACGGGCGUAAUACCGCAUACGCUCUACGGAGGAAAGACGGGGGACCGGCCAAGGCCUCGCGCUAUUGGAUGAGCCUAAGCCCGACUUAGCUAGUUGGUGGGGUAAGUAGCCUACCAAGGCAAUGAUCGGUAGCUGGUCUGAGAGGAUGAUCAGCCACAUUGGGACUGAGACACGGCCCAAACUCCUACGGGAGGCAGCAGUGGGGAAGUAUUGGACAAUGGGCGAAAGCCUGAUCCAGCCAUGCCGCGUGAGUGAUGAAGGCCUUAGGGUUGUAAAGCU